UGGCCCUCUUUGUAUUCUUCCACAGCUUUCUUGAACUGCGUCUAAAGGGUUUCCUUUGCAUGCAUGCCAUGGCACUCUAGCUCCCACACCUUGUUUUGCGGUUCAAUAAAGCUGUGGGAAGAUACAGAUAGGGUCA
rnacentral:pre_miRNA from 1 species